GAGUGUUCCGGAGGCCAAUUAGAGUCCCGGAAGUGCAGCGGCACGGCAGGGUGAGAGGCGUGUUUGAUGACAGCUGAUUGUUUAAAGGGCGGGGGUCAACUACUGACUCCAGCCCUGGUUUAGUCCUGUGGGCCAAGGUCGCUGUCACCGCGGAGGAGAAAUGACAGAGAAACGACCCGGCACAGUGCUGCUUGGCGGACCCGGGGGACCACGGGUGCUGGGGUUCGGGGAAGUCUGUAGGAUACAGGUAUUUGCCGCGAUCUUCCCGCUGCUGUUGUCUGCGGCUGUAUUCCGGGCUAGGGCAGAGAACGACUUCCGUCUGGUUCAGCCGCUGGUGACCAUGGAACAGUUGCUGUGGGUGAGUGGGAGGCAGAUCGGCUCUGUGGACACUUUCCGAAUCCCGCUCAUCACAGCCACUCCUCAGGGCACUCUCCUUGCCUUUGCUGAAGCCAGAAAAAUGUCCACGUCCGAUGAGGGGGCCAAGUUCAUCGCUCUGCGGAGGUCCAUAGACCAGGGCAGCACGUGGUCUCCUACAGCAUUCAUUGUGGAUGAUGGGGAGACCCCAGAUGGUCUGAACCUGGGAGCGGUGGUGAGCGAUACUGAAACAGGAGUGGUAUUCCUUUUUUACUCCCUAUGUGCUCACAAGGCUGGCUGCCAGGUGGCCUCCACCAUGUUGCUAUGGAGCAAAGAUGAUGGUGUUUCCUGGAGCCCGCCCCGGAACCUCUCCUUGGAUAUCGGCACUGAGAUGUUUGCCCCUGGACCUGGCUCUGGCAUUCAGAAACAAUGGGAGCCACGGAAAGGUCGGCUUAUCGUGUGUGGUCAUGGGACGCUGGAGCGGGAUGGGGUCUUCUGCCUCCUCAGUGAUGACCACGGUGCUUCCUGGCGCUAUGGCAGUGGGGUCAGCGGCAUUCCCUAUGGCCAGCCUAAGCGAGAAAAUGAUUUCAACCCUGAUGAGUGCCAGCCCUAUGAGCUCCCAGAUGGGUCAGUUGUCAUCAACGCCCGGAACCAGAAUAACUACCACUGCCACUGCCGAAUUGUCCUCCGCAGUUACGAUGCCUGUGAUACACUGAGGCCCCGUGAUGUGACCUUUGACCCUGAGCUUGUGGACCCUGUGGUUGCUGCAGGAGCUGUAGUCAUCAGCUCUGGCAUUGUGUUCUUCUCCAACCCAGCCCAUCCAGAGUUCCGAGUGAACUUGACCCUGCGCUGGAGUUUUAGCAAUGGUACCUCAUGGAGAAAAGAGACAGUCCAGCUCUGGCCAGGGCCUAGUGGCUACUCAUCGCUGGCAGCCCUGGAGGGCAGUGUGGGCGGGAAGGACCAGGCCCCCCAGCUCUUCGUCCUGUAUGAGAAAGGCCGGAACCACUACACAGAAAGCAUCUCCUUGGCCAAAGUCAGCGUGUAUGGGACACUCUGAGUUGUAUACCUGCCAUAAGGGUAGAAAGCCCUGGACUCAGUCUUCAGGAUGAUGGGCAUAUAGAGAGUCUGCUGGAUAUGCCUAAAAGACAGUUACACCUGCCUUUAGCUCUAGCCUUUUGCAAAAUCCGCUUUUCUCUGACAGGGAAAUCACUCUGUCAGGACUAAAAGCCUGGCUGUUUCUCCCACACAGGAAGUCCUACCCCCACCCGGGAGUGCUUUCCAUAUUGCCAGGUCUGGCCCCCUACACUUUUUGCCCUCUCAAGAUAAUGAUUGGUCCUUUCUUUGGGCAGGGCUAGGUGGGCCUAUAGAAUUGAAUAAAUGUGAACUUGAAAUUGGGGAAAGCUGAGCUUCCUCUUUGAGGUAAGAUACUAGUUUUGGAGAGGGUUGGUGAAGGGCCUGGGAGGGCAUGGUGUUUCCUCUCAGGUUAAAGGACUAGAUGCACCACGGGCCUUGACUAUUUAUGGAUCAGAAUGUAACACAACAUCUUUAAUGAAGGUAAAUGAACAGGUUGUAGAGUCUGUGGUUCGGUCAAUGCCCGUCUGCAUGUCUGUGUUCCUUAUGUACACAGUGGAGCUGGGAAUGAGCUCUGGGGAAGAUGCUGUUGUUCUGUGGCCUAUGAACAUCUGACUUUGGCAAAUCAAACCCUCUUUUUUCUUUCACAUUCUUUCUUAUCGCUGAAAACCAGAUUGACCUUCACAGCUAUAAAUGCACAGUCAGAGGGGAACCCCACGAGGUAUUUGAAACCUGCUCUGUUUUGUAUCUCUAAGAUGAGUGGGUGCUGUCCUCCAUGAGGCAGGGAGCAGCUGUAUACAGUUCAGAUGGCAAGCCUCUCCCAGGCCAGCCUGGCAGAGAAUAAACACUGGGACAAAUUAUGGGAGAAAAUAGCAUCUUCAUUCUACAGCAGAUGCUGGGAAAAGAACCUCGCGGCUACAGGUGAGUGGGAGAACCACAGCAUUCCUCCUGAUGGAAGGAAAGUACAACACCUGGACAACAUGGGAGAGAGAAAGAAAGGGAAAGAAACUUCAGUGUGUGAGAGAAACAUCAAUUGGUUGCCUCUCACAGGCUUCCAACCGGGGACCUGGCCUGCAACCCAGGCACAUCUCCUGGUGGGGAAUCGAACCAGUAACUUUUCUGUUUGUAGUCUGGUGCUCAACCCACUGAACCACACCAGCCAGUGCCUGAGGUAUUUUGAAGCAAAUUCCAGACCUCAUGACAUUCACCUCUUCAUUCUUAAGUAUACAUCUCAUUCUUUAAAAUGUAACAUUUAUUAUAUAACCAUAAUACCAUUGUGUACCAAAACAUGAAUGACAAUACUAUGGUGUCAUCCAAUAACCAGUCAUGUUCAAAUUUCAUUGUCUCAAAAAUGUCUUAUUUGUUGUUAAUUUGUUCAAAUCAAGAUCCAAAGAAAAUCUUUACAUUGCAUUUUGAUGUCUCAUAAAUUUAACCUAUAGUAAUCCCACCUUCUCUUCUUUUUUAUUACCAUCUGCACAAAUAUAGGGUCAUUUCUCCUGUAAUGGUUCCACUCUCUGGAUUCAUCAGUUGCCUCCUCAGAAUGUCACUUAACUUCUUCCUCCAUCUCUUGUAUUUCCAGUUAUCAAACCUGGAGUUUUUAUUGGAUUCAGAUUCCAAUUGGGGGAGUUUGGGGGGGGGCAAGACUCCAUCCUAGGCGCUAUGUGCUUCCUAUUCUGCCCCCCACAGGAGGCAAGUACUGCGGGCUCCACCCUCUCUGAGAAAAAAACUGCAUUUGGUGGGCUGCCAUGGGUUCAGAUAGUCACAGCCUGACCCUCCUCUUUAAUGAUCCCCCAUCACCCUUCCUCUGACAAGUUCAUCCACAGAUGAGUUUUGCCUGAAUCGGUUAUUUCAUAAUGGAUUGUGAAAUGUUGAUUUUUUAAUUCUAUUAUUAUUUUCCUCAUUUGUUAGCCAGAAUUCUUUGGUGAAAAAACAGCUUUCCCUCAUCAAGGCUCUUGGUCUUAAAGCAUGGUCUGGAUGGGAAGAGCUAGAUAAAUGCUGAAUGCCCCUCUUUAAUUGCCUGCUCUUUGAGUGAGCAUGUAAUACUUUGCCCUAGCCAGUAAACCACAUUGCUACCACACAGGAGACACAUUGGAGGCAACCUGCAGGCCUGCAGGAGGAAGCAGGGGGCAUUAAGAACAGAAGAAACGGGCAGCUUGUGCUUGUGGGGUCUGCUUUUCUAAAACAGUUCAUGAAAUAGAUAUGAUGCAAGGAAGAGUGGUGGGGUGGCAUCUGUAGCAACUGGGAAUCUGCUAACACCACUCAAAACUGCACGUCUGACAGUCUUCCUGACAGUAUUAUUUUUAGGGUAGUCAACAACGUGGACUGAAAAAAUUCACGAAGAAAAGAAAAUGCAGAGAGCAAAGGUUUUGUUCACUUUUCGAGAGUAAACAGGGAUAUGGUAUGGAGAGAUACACCAGCACUGAGGGGUGAGGACUUUGAGCUUUUAUUGGAUUUCGAUUGGAUUAUAAAAGGGUUGGGGAGUUGCUAUUAUGUGGCCACUGGGCUGUUGUGGACAUUGCAACACAGAAGGUUUUAGGUGGUUUUGCAUAAGACGCAGUUUGUUCCAGUGUUAUCUUCAGCCUGUGGUGUGGCAAGUGGUUAGUUACUAUCUGUUCUUGCUUUCCAGUAAUUUCCAGUCCUGCAAACAUAAGCUCAGGAGGAGUA